rnacentral:rRNA from 1 species
CGAACGCUGGCGGCGUGCUUAACACAUGCAAGUCGAGCGGUAAGGCCCUUUCGGGGGUACACGAGCGGCGAACGGGUGAGUAACACGUGGGUGACCUGCCCUCAGCUCUGGGAUAAGCCUGGGAAACCGGGUCUAAUACCGGAUAUGACUCCAUGACGCAUGUUGUGGGGUGGAAAGCCUUGUGCGGCUGAGGAUGGGCCCGCGGCCUAUCAGCUUGUUGGUGGGGUGANGGCCUACCAAGGCGACGACGGGUAGCCGGCCUGAGAGGGCGACCGGCCACACUGGGACUGAGACACGGCCCAGACUCCUACGGGAGGCAGCAGUGGGGAAUCUUGCGCAAUGGGCGAAAGCCUGACGCAGCGACGCCGCGUGAGGGAUGACGGCCU